AGAGUUUGAUCCUGGCUCAGAUUGAACGCUGGCGGAAUGCUUUACACAUGCAAGUCGAACGGCAGCACGGGAGCUUGCUCCUGGUGGCGAGUGGCGAACGGGUGAGUAAUGUAUCGGAACGUACCCCGUCGUGGGGGAUAACUCUCCGAAAGGAGAGCUAAUACCGCAUACGACCCGAGGGUGAAAGCGGGGGACCUGGGGUAACCUGGGCCUCGCGCGAUGGGAGCGGCCGAUAUCGGAUUAGCUAGUUGGUGGGGUAAAGGCCUACCAAGGCGACGAUCCGUAGCGGGUCUGAGAGGACGACCCGCCACACUGGAACUGAGACACGGUCCAGACUCCUACGGGAGGCAGCAGUGGGGAAUUUUGGACAAUGGGCGCAAGCCUGAUCCAGCCAUUCCGCGUGAGUGAAGAAGGCCUUCGGGUUGUAAAGCUCUUUCAGCAGGAACGAAACGGUGGGUCUUAAUACGGCCUGCUAAUGACGGUACCUGCAGAAGAAGCACCGGCUAACUACGUGCCAGCAGCCGCGGUAAUACGUAGGGUGCGAGCGUUAAUCGGAAUUACUGGGCGUAAAGCGUGCGCAGGCGGCGACAUAAGACAGAUGUGAAAUCCCCGGGCUCAACCUGGGAACGGCGUUUGUGACUGUGUGGCUAGAGUGUAGCAGAGGGGGGUGGAAUUCCACGUGUAGCAGUGAAAUGCGUAGAGAUGUGGAGGAACACCGAUGGCGAAGCAGCCCCCUGGGUUAACACUGACGCUCAUGCACGAAAGCGUGGGGAGCAAACAGGAUUAGAUACCCUGGUAGUCCACGCCCUAAACGAUGCCAACUAGGUGUUGGGGGAGGAGACUUCCUUAGUACCGUAGCUAACGCGUGAAGUUGGCCGCCUGGGGAGUACGGUCGCAAGAUUAAAACUCAAAGGAAUUGACGGGGACCCGCACAAGCGGUGGAUGAUGUGGAUUAAUUCGAUGCAACGCGAAAAACCUUACCUACCCUUGACAUGUCCGGAAUCCCGAAGAGAUUUGGGAGUGCUCGAAAGAGAGCCGGAACACAGGUGCUGCAUGGCUGUCGUCAGCUCGUGUCGUGAGAUGUUGGGUUAAGUCCCGCAACGAGCGCAACCCUUAUCAUUAGUUGCCAUCAUUGAGUUGGGCACUCUAAUGAGACUGCCGGUGACAAACCGGAGGAAGGUGGGGAUGACGUCAAGUCCUCAUGGCCCUUAUGGGUAGGGCUUCACACGUCAUACAAUGGUCGGUACAGAGGGUUGCCAACCCGCGAGGGGGAGCUAAUCUCACAAAGCCGAUCGUAGUCCGGAUCGCAGUCUGCAACUCGACUGCGUGAAGUCGGAAUCGCUAGUAAUCGUGGAUCAGCAUGUCACGGUGAAUACGUUCCCGGGUCUUGUACACACCGCCCGUCACACCAUGGGAGUGGGUUCCACCAGAAGUAGGUAGUCUAACCGCGCACCGGCGUAAGUUGGCGUGCGGAGGGCGCUUACCACGGUGGGGUUCAUGACUGGGGUGAAGUCGUAACAAGGUAACCGUAA
rnacentral:rRNA from 1 species